rnacentral:lncRNA from 1 species
UCAGCUUACAUGUGCAGAUUGUUACUCUAAGGUUCCUGAGAAUGCCCCCUUGCCAGCUCGGGAAGCUGCAAACAAGGGAUGAUGGAAGGAGGCUUGGGGAACCCAGAUGGAAACAAGGCAUUCAGAACCACUCAGCGCAGCCUGGUGCAGUUGCAUAUGGAAAGAGCAUUCAAGUGUAACAAAAGGCGGGGUACCAUGAAAGGCAGAAUCACAAACAACAUGCCAAGGGAUCAAAGAGGAAGAGUAACCGGUGUUCAGAAAGACUUCGUGGAGGAAAGGGUGUCCGUGCUCCAAAAGCUAAAGGAUGGAUGAAUCUUCCUGCUGAAUCCAGGACCACCAUCUCAGAGAUGGCACCACCCACAAUGGGCUGGGCCCUCCCCCAGUGAUCACCAAUUGAGAAAAUGCCCUACAACUGCAUCUCAUGGAAUCAUUUCCUUAACUGAGGCUCCUUCCUCUCUGAUGACUCUAGCUUGUGUCAAGUACACAAAAACCCACCAGUACAGAAGGGUUUCAAAAUUGAGAUAUAUUUCAAUGUUCAUUUUCAGUAGUUUUGCAUAGGCAACGGAAUAUUAAAUUGUGAUCAUGAGGUGAUUACUGAUUAGAAGAAGAA